rnacentral:rRNA from 1 species
UAGGGAAUCUUCCACAAUGGGCGAAAGCCUGAUGGAGCAACGCCGCGUGUGUGAUGAAGGGUUUCGGCUCGUAAAACACUGUUGUAAGAGAAGAACGUGUGUGAGAGUGGAAAGUUCACACAGUGACGGUAACUUACCAGAAAGGGACGGCUAACUACGUGCCAG